rnacentral:lncRNA from 1 species
GGGGUAUUGUGAUGUCAUUACGGGGGUAUUGUGACGUCAUUACGGGGGUAUUGUGAUGUCAUUACGGGGUAUUGUGACGUCAUUACGGGGGUAUUGUGAUGUCAUUACGGGGUAUUGUGACGUCAUUACGGGGUAUUGUGACGUCAUUAUGGGGGUAUUGUGAUGUCAUUACGGGGUAUUGUGACGUCAUUACGGGGUAUUGUGACGUCAUUAUGGGGGUAUUGUGUGUAGAUUGAUGAGGGGGGAAAAAAACAGAUAUCUCUAGCGUUACAGACAGAUUUUGCCAGGGAUUUUUUUAUUAUUAUGUUAAUUCUAUUUCAGCGGGGCUGCGGAAAUUGUUGGCUAAGGGUUAAGGGUUCAGUGAAAUCUCCACCCACCGGGACAUGCAAAACAAACUCCCGCUCUCACAUAUCCUCACCCCACUCUUCCAUAUGCAGCCUAACAUUGAAGCAUUGUAAUGAACAAGAUGGGAGACAGAGAGCUGGUUUCAAGAGCAGGGUGCAGAAGGUGUUUAUAGGUAAAGGACCACAGGAGGAGACAGGAAGCUGGGUCCAGGGGCAGGAAGCUGGGUCCAGGGGCAGGAAGCUGGGUCCAGGGGCAGGUAGCUGGGUCCAGGGGCAGGAAGCUGGGUCCAGGGGCAGGCAGAAGGUCAUACACAGGAGGAGGCAGGUAGCUGGGUCCAGGGGCAGGCAGAAGGUCAUACACAGGAGGAGGCAGGUAGCUGGGUCCAGGGGCAGGCAGGUCAUACACAGCAGGAGGUAGGUAGCUGGGUCCAGGGGCAGGCAGAAGGUCAUACACAGGAGGAGGCAGGUAGCUGGGUCCAGGGGCAGGCAGAAGGUCAUACACAGGAGGAGGCAGGUAGCUGGGUCCAGGGGCAGGCAGGUCAUACACAGGAGGAGGCAGGUAGCUGGGUCCAGGGGCAGGUAGCUGGGUCCAGGGGCAGGCAGAAGGUCAUACACAGGAGGAGGCAGGUAGCUGGGUCCAGGGGCAGGCAGAAGGUCAUACACAGGGGGUCCAAAAAGGUAACAUUACAGGCAGGGAAAAGGAUACUAACGUUGUCCGGGUGAUCAGGCAACAGGUUGAUAACAGGAAAUCCGAUAGGCUGAAGUACAGGCAGGGAAAAGGCAAAAAGGCGUCGUUAGGAUGAUUACAUCACGGGAAACACAGCGCUCCGAAUAGAAGUGUGUCACAAAACAAACAAUACCUCACAGUGACGGUGUGCAAAGAACUGAACUAAAUAGUGUGUGAUAAUGACAUACAGGUGUGUGAACAGGUGAUCAGAAUACAGGUGUCGGGGAUCUGGAGAGUGAGCUGCGUUCAGGGGGAUCUACGUUUUUUUGAGAGUUUGAGUUGGGAAGCAGACGUUACAAGCUUCUCUUCGAGAAGCCCAUUCUUUUUCAUGUUCUUCCUGUGCCAUCCAAAUUUGUGCAUAGCCUAGUCAGUGGUCAGUUAUAUCAGGCUAGGUAACAUGACUUGCUAACUAAACAAUGUCGUUUGUUAUCAACCCCCCCCCCCAAAAAUGGAUUGUUCGUGAGUAGUUGAAAGCGUCCCCGCGACUGGCGCACAAAUCCACGGCAGGAAGAAAGAACAUCGCUCCGGUAAUAUUGGCCAUAACUUUGACAUGAUUUGUGCUAGAGACACACGGUCUUCAGCGAUGUAAAGGAGUUCAAUGUAAAGGCACAAACAUUGACUGUAGCGGUGUUGUGUUCUGCCUUUAAAAGGGUCCUUGCGGAAACGUGUGCUUUAAAAGGUUCCUAGCGGAAACGUUUGCUUGAAAAGGUUCCUUGCAGGAAACGUGUGCUUUAAAAAGGUUCCUAGAGGAAAAUAAAUUGAUUAAUGGUGUUCCCCCCCAAAAAAUGUAACCUGAUAAUAAAUGUCAUGCAUUAACACAAUAUAAACAUGUUAACUUUGACAACCCGAAUAUGUAUAAUUAUAUACAGCAUAUAUAUAAAAAAAAUUGUUUUCCCCCUCUGAUGAGAGCUGUACAUAU